UGAGUGCACUAUAUAUUUUAUUAAAUAACCCAGGAGUUGUACCAAGAUAUAUCAACCCUCCAAAAAUAUUUCUGACACCCCAAAUAUAAUUAGAAUACCCCUAUAUGUCUUAAAUUAUACCCCGUAUACGAAAACCGGCCCCGGAUAACCUUUAUUUCAUUAAAUAACAAAUAAAAUAAGUUUUUCCAGUCGCUCGCGGGCCGCGAAGGCAUAGCCUUCAGCUUAUGCGGACCGCGACAACUCAACAUCAGGAGAACACUCGGUGCUGCCACGUGUCGAUGACUCAGCACACUCAAACCGCCCUACUAUCUCUCGCGGGGCGCGUAAACCUUCUCUUCGUCUUACGUGGGCCACUACUAGAAAACUAGGCAAUUGUCACCAAAAUUUGCCACCAAAAAAAAUGAUAACAAUUUUAGCCACCAUUUUUCCACCAAAAUACAAAUUUAACCCAUUCACCAUGACACGGUAGCUAAGUGGUGGCAAAUUUUGCAACCUUUUAUUUUCGGUCACAAAUUAGUGAGAAAAGCCACAACUUUAUAAGCGGUGUCUGACUUGCCACCGUAAUAGUGGUGGCAACAUCUAAAAAUUUAGACGGAUUAAAUCUUUUUUAUUAGGCGGGCUGCCGCUAAAUUUUAAUUUAAAUUUCUUAUUGUGCGGCGUUAAUUUCUAAUUAACCGCUCCACAUUCUAGGGUUUUAUAGAAAAAAAAUCCCAAAUCAUAGUGAAGCAUCUUGGCGACUCCUCCUCCCCUCUGAAGAAUAGAUGCUUUGAGUUCAAUCACUACUAGUAUACAAGCAUCGAUCAUCAGGUUUUGGAGCAAUACACUGGUCAAUCCCUUGUCUUCUCCAAGGAUUGAAAGUUGAACUUGGUUAUCAAGGAGCUUGUUAAGGAAAAAGAUGAAGAAAAAGAAAGCUUAAAUGGAAUUAUUGUGAGGUUGUUGGCUAAAAAGAAAAGGAUAAGGUGGAUAAAGAUGUUAUGCUCAAUAGUCAAUAGGAUGUCACAAAUUGAAGCUAUGAUAACAGCUAUGCUUCGAAGAUAGGCUGUAAACUAAGUUUUGAAUGUUUCAAUAUUAGGAUAAUUUUGGUAUAUAAUGAUUUAGUUUGUAUUUUUAUUAGAAUGUUUAUAUUUUGAAACAGGAAAAACUGAAAUACAUAUGUUUUAUAUAAUAUUGGGAUUUUGUAAUUU